rnacentral:rRNA from 1 species
GGAUAAGAGACAGCAGUAGCCACGGGAAUACAGAGGGUGCGAGCGUUAAUCGGAUUUACUGGGCGUAAAGCGUGCGUAGGCGGCUUUUUAAGUCGGAUGUGAAAUCCCUGAGCUUAACUUAGGAAUUGCAUUCGAUACUGGGAAGCUAGAGUAUGGGAGAGGAUGGUAGAAUUCCAGGUGUAGCGGUGAAAUGCGUAGAGAUCUGGAGGAAUACCGAUGGCGAAGGCAGCCAUCUGGCCUAAUACUGACGCUGAGGUACGAAAGCAUGGGGAGCAAACAGGAUUAGAUACCCCUGUAGUCCCUGUCUCUUAUAC